UACGGAGGAUCCGAGCGUUAUCCGGAUUUAUUGGGUUUAAAGGGUGCGCAGGCGGGAAAUUAAGUCGGCGGUGAAAUUUUGCGGCUCAACCGUAAAAGUGCCUUCGAUACUGGUUUUCUUGAGUGUAGCUGAAGUAGGCGGAAUUUGUGGUGUAGCGGUGAAAUGCAUAGAUAUUACACAGAACACCGAUUGCGAAGGCAGCUUACUAAUCCAUCAUUGACGCUGAGGCACGAAAGCGUGGGGAUCAAACAGGAUUAGAUACCCCUGUAGU
rnacentral:rRNA from 1 species